rnacentral:tRNA from 1 species
UUUCGGAUGGCCGAGUGGUUAAUCUGUUUGCUUCCAAACAAAGGGUCAAGAGUUCGACUCCUUUUGGAGU